CUGACAGGCAGGUAGGCCAUCCAGUUAUUUUAGCCGGGCCGGCUCAGAUGAUUGGUUGUGCUUUUUACAGCGCCACGGCUUCCACAGAUGAAAUUUUUUUAUGUAUUUAUUGU